UACAGAGGUGGCAAGCGUUGUUCGGAAUUACUGGGCGUAAAGGGCGCGUAGGCGGUUCGUUAAGUCCUGUGUGAAAUCCCCCGGCUCAACUGGGGAACUGCACAGGAAACUAGCGGGCUUGAGUUCGGGAGAGGGAAGCGGAAUUCCGGGUGUAGCGGUGAAAUGCGUAGAUAUCCGGAGGAACACCGGUGGCGAAGGCGGCGUUCUGGACUGUAACUGACACUGAGGAACGAAAGCCAGGGGAGCAAACGGG
rnacentral:rRNA from 1 species